CCCUUAGAUGUUCUGGGCCGCACGCGCGCUACACUGAUGCAUUCAACGAGUCUAAAACCUGGUCUGAUAGGGCUGGGUAAUCUUUUGAAUGUGCAUCGUGAUUGGGAUAGAUGAUUGCAAUUCUUCAUCUUCAACGAGGAAUGCCUAGUAAACGCAAGUCAUCAGCUUGCAUUGAUUACGUCCCUGCCCUUUGUACACAUCGCCCGUCGCUCCUACCGAUUGAAUGUUCCGAUGAAUACCAUGGACUGAGAGUAUGAAUGGGUUCGCCUAUUUCUGCUUCUCGGGAAGUGGAGUAAAUCUUAACAUUUAGAGGAAGGAGAAGUCGUAACA
rnacentral:rRNA from 1 species